GGAGUCGGUAUUCAGUAGGUGAGAGUUUUUUUUUUUUUCAUGGCUUCUUUGCUUGAGGCCUCCAGCUCUUGGCAGUUAAAAGUCACCUUAUACAGGAAUGGUGCUGGGCACGAAUGCAAUGUGGCUUUUGGUGGCUUCUGACGGACAGUUCUGUGCCAAAGGGGUGGAAGUGGCUGCCGAGGUCCCAAAGUUAAAAUUUCACAUGCCAGCCAUGGGCAAACAGGCACUAAGCAGAAUUAGCUGGAAGUUGAAGGGGUGGACUUGA
rnacentral:lncRNA from 1 species